rnacentral:lncRNA from 1 species
UCCUUUUGAGCUGCGGGAGGUGCCCCCAUGGCUGUCCACUGUUCUCUUGCAGGGUCAGCUUGUGUUGAUGGCCUUAACACCAGCACGGCUUGGCUAACGGCCAACUUUAGAAACUUCAGCAGACACGCUGCAUAUCACGACUUGCUCUCUCUGAACUCCAGAUUUAAUGGGUUCGAUGUGCUCAGUAGUCUGACAGUGAAGCAGCGUGCACAGUUAUCAGCCACCCAGGGGACCUUGCAGACCCCCGAAGAUGUUCAGAGACUGAUGAGUUUUGUGACCACCUCUACAGUAACCGAGUACAUCGAUGAAUUGAACAGACAGGCCAACCUGAGUCUGAAGGGGGACAUCAGAGCCACGCUGCUACAGCACAUCCUAGCUGCAGCCCAGCCAAUAUUUCAGAAGGCAGAUGAUGCUGAAUUCGUGCACUGGAUGGAUCCUCGCCUUGCAGGCUUGAUCUCAGGACUGAACAGCACCCAUGUCCCACUCGUUUUCAACGGUCUAGAAUCUAGAAACUGCUCUGCCAUCAAUGCUGUAGUAACUGUGCUUAAUAGCUCCAUCACCGACUUCAGCAACACCACGCGACAGAGCAUUUACCGCGGGAUACUGAACGUGACAGCCGGUAAGGAGCAUUGUUCAUGGAAAGGUUUCACUAAACGAUUCAGCUGCUUUGACAUCGUAACUGGUUCAUUCCACUCCGCUGAGCCCCACUCCCAGGCAUUAUUUUUAAGCCAUUGUCCUUUUCCCUCUGGUUAUUUCAGGUUCCUCCCUACGGUGCUACAUCACAAACACUAGCUUCGCCAUGUAUUUAAGAGAGACGUUUCAGGGCUUUGCUGCUUUUCUGAAUCUGAGAGAUCUCGCCUCCAUCGUUCCAGCAUCUGAAAUCCAAACGGUACUGGAAUAGCUAGGAGAUGUGUUCGUGAUCUUGCUACAACCCUCGGUUACACACACAGCCCACCUGAACAAUCCUGUGAAUUUGUACAUGUAUUCAUAACAUGGUCUCCACAUUUAUUUUUUGCCUAAUGCAGGAGGGGGCAUUCUGCCUCCUGACGUACCUCCUUUUUGGGGAGACAUUCUUUCAGAGUUUCUCUCAGUUACUAGUCCAAUUGCUAGUGGCACAUCUCUCUCUCUCUCUCUCUCUCUCUCUCGUAUUUACAGGGGACCAAUCACAGUAGUAUCUGAGCCAACUGCCCCAUUCCACACUCCUCUGUUCAUCAUUGACCUAUGUUUAAUGAAGUCUCUUGAAAGUUUCUAACGUGCUUUACACAGCCUGUUGUCACACAGGUG